AUUGAACGCUGGCGGCAGGCCUAACACAUGCAAGUCGAGCGGAGCGGCGGACGGGCGAGUAAUUCCUAGGAAUCUGCCUGGUAGUGGUGGAUAACGUCCGGAAACGGGCGCUAAUACCGCAUACUAUAAGUUGAGCCUAGGUCGGAUUUGCUAGUUGGUGGGGUAAAGGCUAACCAAGGCGACGAUCCGUAACUGGUCUGAAGGGAGGAUCAGUCACACUGGAACUGAAAUACGGUCCAGACGCCUACGGGAGGCAGGAGUGGAGAAUAUUGGACAAGUGGAGAAAGCCUGAUCUGGCCAUGCCGCGUGUGUGAAGAAGGUAUUCGGAUUGUAAAGCAAUUUAAGUUGGGAGGCGUUACCAAAAGAAUAAGCACCGGCUAACUUCGUGCCAGCAGCCGCGGUAAUUC
rnacentral:rRNA from 1 species